rnacentral:rRNA from 1 species
CAGCAGCCGCGGUAAUACGUAGGGUGCGAGCGUUAUCCGGAAUCAUUGGGCGUAAAGAGCUCGUAGGCGGUUCAACAAGUCGGCUGUGAAAGUCCGGGGCUCAACCCCGGAAUUGCAGUCGAUACUGUUGUGACUUGAGUCCGGUAGAGGAGAAUGGAAUUCCCGGUGUAGCGGUGGAAUGCGCAGAUAUCGGGAGGAACACCAGUAGCGAAGGCGGUUCUCUGGGCCGGCACUGACGCUGAGGAGCGAAAGCGUGGGGAGCAAACAGGAUUAGAUACCCUGGUAGUCCACGCCGUAAACGUUGGAUACUAGGUGUGGCGGUCUACCAACGACUGCCGUGCCGAAGCUAACGCAUUAAGUAUCCCGCCUGGGGAGUACGGCCGCAAGGCUAAAACUCAAAGGAAUUGAC